UACGUAGGCAGCAAGCGUUGUUCGGAGUUACUGGGCGUAAAGAGUAUGUAGGCGGUUGGGUAAGUUUGGUGUGAAAUCUCCCGGCUUAACUGGGAGGGUGCGCUAAAGACUGCCUGGCUCGAGUGUGGGAGAGGAAAGCGGAAUUCCUGGUGUAGCGGUGAAAUGCGUAGAUAUCAGGAGGAACACCGGUGGCGAAGGCGGCGUCCUGGACCAACACUGACACUGAUGAGCGAAAGCCAGGGGAGCAAACGGG
rnacentral:rRNA from 1 species